rnacentral:rRNA from 1 species
CGAGUGGCGGACGGGUGAGGAAUACAUCGGAAUCUACUCUGUCGUGGGGAUAACGUAGGGAAACUUACGCUAAUACCGCAUACGACCUACGGGUGAAAGCAGGGGAUCUUCGGACCUUGCGCGAUUGAAUGAGCCGAUGUCGGAUUAGCUAGUUGGCGGGGUAAAGGCCCACCAAGGCGACGAUCCGUAGCUGGUCUGAGAGGAUGAUCAGCCACACUGGAACUGAGACACGGUCCAGACUCCUACGGGAGGCAGCAGGA